CUGCGGAAGGAUCAUUGUCGAAUCCUGCCCCCGAAAGACCGCGAACAAGUUAUCAAAAACCCGGGGCGCGGGCGGGCGCGGGGAGACCCCGCCCGUCGGCCCCCGCGCACAACCUAACUCUCGGCGCGGGAUGCGCCAAGGACUACUGAAACGGAUUGCCGGGCGCCCGGCGGUUUCUGCCGGUCGCGCGCGGCGUCUGGUCGUUCUAACCGAAACGACUCUCGGCAACGGAUAUCUAGGGAAUGCGAUACUUGGUGCGAAUUGCAGAAUCCCGUGAACCAUCGAGUUUUUGAACGCAAGUUGCGCCCGAAGCCAGCAGGCCGAGGGCACGCCUGCCUGGGCGUCACGCAUCGCGUCGCCGCCCCCCCCAGCGCGUCCCGUCGCGUUCUCGGGCGGGGGUGACGGAUGUUGGCCUCCCGUGCCCCCGCGGCGCGGCCGGCCCAAAUGNGAUCCCCCGGCGCGGGACGUCACGGCGAGUGGUGGUUGAACUCCUCAAUCGUGUGCUGCCGCGANGACCCUCGGCGGGAACGAANCGACCCCGGAGCCCGUCACGGGCCUCGRCCRNGACCCCAGGNNAGGCGGGAUUAC
rnacentral:rRNA from 1 species